rnacentral:rRNA from 1 species
GAUGAACGCUAGCGGCAGGCCUAAUACAUGCAAGUCGAGGGGCAGCACGGUAGCAAUACUGGUGGCGACCGGCAAACGGGUGCGGAACACGUACGCAACCUUCCUUUAAGAGAUGAAUAGCCCGAGGAAAUUCAGAUUAAUGCAUCGUAAGAUUGUGGGAUGGCAUCAUCCAGCAAUUAAAGAUUUAUUUCGCUUAAAGA